rnacentral:rRNA from 1 species
AGCGAACGCUGGCGGCAGGCCUAACACAUGCAAGUCGAACGAACUCUUCGGAGUUAGUGGCGGACGGGUGAGUAACACGUGGGAACGUGCCUUUAGGUUCGGAAUAACUCAGGGAAACUUGUGCUAAUACCGAAUGUGCCCUUCGGGGGAAAGAUUUAUCGCCUUUAGAGCGUCCCGCGUCUGAUUAGCUAGUUGGUGAGGUAAAGGCUCACCAAGGCGACGAUCAGUAGCUGGUCUGAGAGGAUGAUCAGCCACAUUGGGACUGAGACACGGCCCAAACUCCUACGGGAGGCAGCAGUGGGGAAUCUUGCGCAAUGGGCGAAAGCCUGACGCAGCCAUGCCGCGUGAAUGAUGAAGGUCUUAGGAUUGUAAAAUUCUUUCACCGGGGACGAUAAUGACGGUACCCGGAGAAGAAGCCCCGGCUAACUUCGUG